rnacentral:rRNA from 1 species
UGGUGGCGACCGGCGCACGGGUGAGUAACGCGUAUGCAACCCAUCUAUCAGAGGGGAAUAACCCGGCGAAAGUCGGACUAAUACCGCAUAAAACAGGGACACCGCAUGGUGAUAUUUGUUAAAGAAAUUCGCUGAUAGAUGGGCAUGCGUUCCAUUAGGUAGUUGGUGAGGUAACGGCUCACCAAGCCGACGAUGGAUAGGGGAACUGAGAGGUUGGUCCCCCACACUGGUACUGAGACACGGACCAGACUCCUACGGGAGGCAGCAGUGAGGAAUAUUGGUCAAUGGGCGAGGGCCUGAACCAGCCAAGUCGCGUGAAGGAAGAAGGAUCUAUGGUUCGUAAACCUCUUUUGCAGGGGAAUAAAGUGCAGGACGUGUCCUGUUUUGUAUGUACCCUGAGAAUAAGGAUCGGCUAACUCCGUGCCAGCAGCCGCGGUAAUACGGAGGAUCCGAGCGUUAUCCGGAUUUAUUGGGUUUAAAGGGUGCGUAGGUGGUUUGAUAAGUCAGCGGUGAAAGUUUGCAGCUUAACUGUAAAAAUGCCGUUGAAACUGUCGGACUUGAGUGUAAAUGAGGUAGGCGGAAUGCGUGGUGUAGCGGUGAAAUGCUUAGAUAUCACGAAGAACUCCGAUUG